rnacentral:lncRNA from 1 species
GAAAGAAGUUCCCCCCGGACGAGUUCAUCUGCAACAGCCCCAACAGCGACUGCUUCGGCGCCAACAUCACCUGCCCCGAUCAGUGCCCGUCCUUCCGGCCGGCCAACCCCAAUGAGAAGGCUUGCUUCAUCGACUGCAACAAUCCCACCUGCGAGGCUGUCUGUGGAAGUAAGCGCAUUAGCACUGCAUGCAUAGUUGUACCACUUUGGAUGCUGACCUGAUCUCCUCUUGUUGGGUAUGCAGCCAGGAAGCCGGACUGCAACCUGCCUGGUUCAGGGUGCAAGGACCCGAGGUUCGUCGGCGGCGAUGGCAUCGUGUUCUACUUCCGCGGCAAGGCGAACCAGCACUUCACGCUCGUCUCCG